rnacentral:rRNA from 1 species
GAUGAACGCUGGCGGCGUGCCUAAUACAUGCAAGUCGAGCGAAGCGCGGACGGGUGAGUAAAACGUGGAUAACCUCCUAUAAGACUGGGAUAAAUUUGGGAAACCGGAGCUUAACCCGAAUCUUAUAGAUUGAUCCGCUCUGCAUUAGCUAGUUUUUAAGGUCACGGCUUACCAAGGCUACGCUGCAUAGCCGACCUGAGAGGGUGAUCGGCCACACUGGGACUGAGACACGGUCCAGACUCCUACGGGAGGCAGCAGUAGGGAAUCUUCCGCAAUGGGCGAAAGCCUGACGGAGCCACGCCGCGUGAGUGAUGAAGGGCUUAGGAUCGUAAAACACUGUUAUUAGGGAAGCGUUACCUACUCAGAAAGCCACGGCUAACUACGUGCCAGCAGCCGCGGUAAUUC